CAAGACAUAUUCUUGACGAUAGUGCUGCCUUGAAUGGGAGUAGAGCUAUUCUUAAUAAUUUUGCGAUUCAUUUAGUUCAGAGAGUAACCGCGAGGGGGACAGGUGUGUGACUUUAUGUCUUGCUGAAUCUUUUUUUUUUUCCUGUACAGUAAGACUUUGGGAAUGAAAUGCUGCAAUCUCCUCUUGUCUAUGGUGCUCUUCUGCAAUAGUUUCCUACGCAAUCGUUAUAGAAGAAUAAAUGAAAUAAUCUUGGGAUAGUGAUUCAAUAAAUAACAGGUGCCCUGUCUAGAGCGUACGCGUCCUUGAGCCACGCACCUGCAUGAUGACCGCAUACCGAGAGACUAUUGUUUCAGGUUGACCUUGUCUAGAGGAGCAUUAGUGGAAAAAAAACUGUGUAGCCCUGAGACAAUAGGAUGACGUUACGACCAAUGAGAACGGCCUGCAGGGGGCGCAAGGAUUCACUUCUCUCUUGGACACUGACGGGUCUCGACACGCAAAUUCUGCUCCUGGCGUUGGCCGUCAGUGGAAGAGCGUAGCUUCGGUGGGGUUCUGUCUGCCUCUGAUGGGGUGCGGAUGUGUGGUUCGUCACUGGUGAAUGGUGUUCGACGAUGCAGGUGGAUUUUGUGACGAGCGGAUUUACAAUGAGGGAAUGCUGUGAACGGGAAAAAUGAUGGUGAGUGCCCUUUUUCACUCUGUUCAAGUGUUUGUUUUCCUCUGUUGCCCAGCAGUCGUACGAUUUGUCCUGACGUGUCCUGAUAUGCCCCGAUAUGCAUGCUUUCCUUUGUUGACGCUUAGUAUUUUUUUCUUUUUUGACAAGGAACAUUGUCGUCUUGACGAUAGUGCUGCCCCGAGUUCUGCGCGCGUUGAUUUGUUGAGUGCCUAGUCCUCUUAUUAGCCAUUGAUGGAGUUACAUGUUAGGAUGUUUUGUUCUUUUGCAAGUCUCAUUUAGUAAGACUUUGGAAUUCCUACGAUCAGUUUUCAUGCAUGGUGCUCUUCUGCAAUAGUUUCCUAUGCAAUCGUUAUAGAAGAAUAAAGGAAAUAAUCUUGGGAUAGUGAUUCAAUAAAUAAUAGGUCCCCUGUCUAGAGCGCACGCGUCCUUGAGCCACGCAGGUGCAUGAUGACGUCAUACCGUGGCUUCACUGCAGAUUGACCAAAGGAGCAUUAGUGGAAAAAAACAGUGUAGCCCUGAGACAAUAGGAUGAUGUCUGGACCAAUGAGAACUGCCAGCAGGGGGCGCAGGAAUGCUCUUCUCACUUAGCCUCACGACCAAUGAGAACGGCCAGCAGGGGGCGCAGGAAUGCUCUUCUCUCUUAGCCUCUCGCAGGUGGCGGUAGGAGCGCGCAGAGGGCGCUACGAGCGCGCGCAUGCGUAGCACCCGUAGAGUGGCGCUUACGUCAGUCCACCUCUGGCUCUCGUUUGGAGAAGACGUGCGGUCGUUCGCUCCGUCGUCACUUGAUCCCUGGCUGUCGACGAGAGCAGUCGCAUCGGUCUGCGCUCCUGCUGUGAGCUCUCCUAACCUGCCCAGACAUGCCAUGAUGACGUCACAGCUGACGUCACAGGAUGUGCGGAACUGGUGCUGCGAUGCUUUGCAACCUGCCUCAGUGCUCCGUCGCCCAGCGGCCUUUCCGGGCCGCUUUCUUCAAGACGAUGUCGUUGAUCUUCAACUAAACUCCUUCUCUCCA